rnacentral:lncRNA from 1 species
GCGCUCAGAUGCCCCAGCUCAGCCGAGAGGCCGCUCGCGCCGGGUCCUUCCUCUUCCCCAAGUGCAGGCAGAGCCCCCGGAGCCAUGGCCAGUCCUUCCGGCAGCUCCGAAGCCACUGGCAAGACCCGAGGCAGGGAUGGCCGGCCCAGGAGGGAGGAGGACGACGUCCCUCCCGAGGAGAAGAGGCUGCGGCUGUUGCUGGAGGGAGGGGGGAAGGGCACAGCCCGAGGACUGCGAGGACGGAGAGGACGCGCCGCGGCCGGGCAGGGAGGAGACCGGCACCCAGACAGGUGGCGACGGCAGA